rnacentral:piRNA from 1 species
UCCCUGGAAGUGUGGGUAACAGUGUA